GCGAGUAGGGACGCGCUCCUCUGUACGUUAUCGGCGGAGGGUGAGUAACACGUGGAUAACCUACCUAUAACACUGGGAUAACUUCAGGAAACCGGAUCUCAUACCGGAUAAAAUAUUGUACCGCACGGUUCAAUAUUGAAAGACGGUUUUGCUGUCGCUUAUUGAUGGAUCCCCGCCGCAUUAUCUACUUGGUAAGGUAACGGCUUACCAAGGCAACGAUGCGUAGCCGACCUGAUAGGGUGAUCGGCCACACUGGAGCUGAUACACGGUCCACACUCCUACGGGAGGCAGCAGUAGGGAAUCUUCCUCAAUGGGGGAAAACCUGACGGAGCAACGCCGCGUGAGUGAUGAAGGUCUUCUGAUCAUAAAACUCUGUUAUUACGGAAGAACAACUGUGUAAGUAACUAUGCCCGUCUUGACGGUACCUAAUCAGAAAACCACGGCUAACUACUUGCCGCCAGCCGCGGUAAUACUUAGGUGGCAAGCGUUAUCCGGAAUUAUUGGGCGUAAAGCGCGCGUAGGCGGUUUUUUAUUUCUGAUGUUGAAGCCCACGGCUCAUCCGCGGAGGGUCAUUGUAGACUGGAGAACUUGAGUGCGGAAAAGAAGAGUGUAGUUCUAUGUGUAGCGGUGAGAUGCGCAGAGAUAUGGAGGAGCACCACUGGCGAAGGCGACUUUCUGGUCUGUAACUGACGACUGCAUGAUGCGAAAGCGUGGUGGAUCAUACACGAUAUAUACUCCUGGUGGUCCACGACGUAACGAUGAUGCUGACUGUAUGAGGUUUCCUGCACCCUAUGCUGCAGCUACGCUUUAUGCACUCUGCCUGGGAGUACGACGGCCACGAUGGAAACUCACGAUGAUCGGGAACCGCAACGCUGAGCAUGUGGUGAAU
rnacentral:rRNA from 1 species